rnacentral:rRNA from 1 species
UAGUGGGGGAUAGCCCGGCGAAAGCCGGAUUAAUACCGCAUACGAUCUGAGGAUGAAAGCGGGGGACCUUCGGGCCUCGCGCUAUAGGGUUGGCCGAUGGCUGAUUAGCUAGUUGGUGGGGUAAAGGCCUACCAAGGCGACGAUCAGUAGCUGGUCUGAGAGGACGACCAGCCACACUGGGACUGAGACACGGCCCAGACUCCUACGGGAGGCAGCAGUGGGGAAUUUUGGACAAUGGGCGAAAGCCUGAUCCAGCAAGCCGCGUGUGUGAAGAAGGCCUUCGGGUUGUAAAGCACUUUUGUCCGGAAAGAAAUCCUUGGUUCUAAUAUAGCCGGGGGAUGACGGUACCGGAAGAAUAAGCACCGGCUAACUACGUGCCAGCAGCCGCGGUAAUACGUAGGGUGCAAGCGUUAAUCGGAAUUACUGGGCGUAAAGCGUGCGCAGGCGGUUUGCUAAGACCGAUGUGAAAUCCCCGGGCUCAACCUGGGAACUGCAUUGGUGACUGGC